GGGGUUGUGGCUCAGCGGUAGAGUGGUCGCCUUGCACGCGCCAGGCCCUGGGUUCGAUCCUCAGCACCACA
rnacentral:tRNA from 1 species